UUAACGGAAGAAUUUGAAGAUAAUUCGUGGAGGCAGCUAGGCCCAGUUUCCAUGGCCCAUCUGAAGGCAAUGCCAGUGAGAGUUCAAAGGCUGUGCAUGGUGGUGCUGUGUGGGACAUCUUUCGAAGAGAGGAUGUUCCAAAACUUAUUUGAGUAUUUGAAAAAGCACGAGCAUGAGUUCUGUCACCUCUAUAACAAACCUGUAAAACCUUUGCUAAGGUGAAUGGUUGAUAUAUGAUAUUUUCUGUAUGCAGAUAUAGAACCAUGGACAUUUGAGCAACAUCUCGGCGAAGCUGUUUUCAUCGCUGCAGGUUGUCCUUACCAAGUUAGAAAUAGACAGGUAAAGUACUUGGUUAAAAACUAUUUUUACUCACAAGGGUCUGCCCUCUUUGCCCUUUCACUGUUUUCUCUUUGCCCUUUCACUGUUUUCUCUUUGCCCUUUCACUGAUCCCUAAAUUUGAAACUGUUUACAGUCUUGCAUAAAGGUGGCACUAGGUUUUAUCUCUCCCGAAAGCAUAGAAGAAUGCAUUAGGCUGACACAAGAGUACAUGAGGUUGCCAAAAGACCACAAAUUCAGCAAAGAUAAAUUAGAGGUACUUUUAUUAUAUCUGAUCGUCGUUUUUUGAAGGUAGAUACCUAACGUGGACCGCUCUUGGCACUGCAUUUGUAGAUUCAGAAAAUAGUUCUGCAUGCCGCUAGCUCAGCCAUAAAAGAAGCACAAAGUCUAAUGCAAAACUCCUAGACGCAGUGGUGGUGCUAACAAAAAAGACUCUCAAGGGGUUUGUUUUUAAAAGCUUAUCAAUGCUUGUGAAGCCCCAAGAAACAGCCUGGCGAUGCUCUGCUAUAAGUACAGUUGUAAACAAGUGUGUUCAUAUUACCUCUAAAAGCUUGGCCUCUGUUCUUUAACCAUUCCCGGAUAAUAUUAGUUCACGACUUAUCUUGAACACCAAAACUUACAACCGUUGUACAUUAUUUAACAAAAUGGGUUUGAGAUCAGAGGCAAAUGAUAGUAAGGGUUAAUUGGUUUGUGACCCAUUAUUGUUGUGGCCCACAACUUGUGGGCUCAGUUAUGUACAAACUUGUCUAAAAGUUUCACCUUCUUAUCUCUGCAUCAGAAGCAGCCCACCGAAAAUUUGUUAGUCUCACGUCAGAUAUAAAUUUGAUAGUUUUUCACUUAUUCUUUUAUUCAUAUUAACUGAAAGUGAGUAAAAAUAAAUUAAGAAUUGGAGAGUAUAAGAAACAAUGUUUUAAAAAUUGGACUGGGAGUUCAAUCGGUUUAAUAUGGUUUGAUCAGGUCGGAUCUGGUUUACAAAUAUAUAUAUAUAUAUACAUAAAUUUAAAAUAAUUAUAGUAAAUAUGAUAUAUAAGUAGAAUAUGAAUAUAAUCAAAUAUGAACACUGGAAAUAUUAACUAUCUAUUUUGUACAUCUGGCUCCUAAUAUUUUCAUCCAAUUCAUUGACUUUGGUGAAAUUUUAGAGUUUUUUUUUGUUUUUUUCAAAAUAAAAAAAAUAGUUUUAUUGUCUAUGUCAUAAAACCAACAUUAAAUAGUCAAUUUAGUAUAUAAUAUUUUCUUAUAAUUCAAUUUUUCUUUCCUAAUUUAAACCAUAAUAUUUGGUAUCUAAACAAAAAAAUAUUUCAUUCCUUUUAUAUUCUAUUGAUUUACUUCCACACAAAUGUAAUAUAUAUAUUUUUGGUUUUAACAGUUUUAUCUUCAUAAUUCUCAUCUUUAAAUCUAGCGAUUACUAAUUCGUUAUUAUUGUCAGUGUCUUGUCUUUUUUCUCGGACGCUACAUGUUCUUUGUUCCACAUCGUCUCAUCUGAAGUUUCAUAAACCUUUUCGCUAUCAUUCUCUCGUUGGUAAAAAUCUAAAACCUUUGUCUUACCGAUUCACGAUUUCUUCAGAUUUAUCAUUUUCAUCUUCGUUUAUAUUUUAGAAUAAUUUUUCAGAUAUGUCGAUAUUUCUAUAUUUUUGGUUGUUUAUUUUUUCUCUUUCUCUGUUUAAUUUCCAUAUUAUCGGAAGCAAAAAAAAUAACUUGAUUUAAAGAUUUUUGAUGAAUGUUUAGUAACCAAUUUAUAAAAUUUAUGAGAAAUUUGUCAAUAAAUUAGGCAUAAUAUAUACUCUAUCACCGAGAUAAGAAAUGAAACACACAAAAAAAAAGGUAAGGAUGAAGACGUAGAUUACGGUUACAAAAAAAAAAAGUGAAGACGUAGAUUAUAGACUACAUGCUUUAUAGAUUAAGGAAAUCUAUACUAUACUAAAAGGGGGAUAUAAGCCAUGGAGAGGGUGUCCACAUAGUAUAGAAAAA